GGGGACGACGUCAAGUCAUCAUGGCCCUUACGACCAGGGCUACACACGUGCUACAAUGGUCGGUACAAAGGGUUGCUACCUAGCGAUAGGAUGCUAAUCUCAAAAAGCCGAUCGUAGUCCGGAUUGGAGUCUGCAACUCGACUCCAUGAAGUCGGAAUCGCUAGUAAUCGCGGAUCAGAAUGCCGCGGUGAAUACGUUCCCGGGCCUUGUACACACCGCCCGUCACACCAUGGGAGUUUGUUGCACCAGAA
rnacentral:rRNA from 1 species